AUCUCAUAAUUAUAUUUUUUAUGCAUGGAGGUAGUACUUUUCCCAUUUUGCGAUGACCACCUUGUUUGCUAGGCGAUGGCAGCUGCACCGUGCGCCCCUAUGAGAGAGAGAUAGAGUCACAAGUGUGAGAGGGAUGAGAUUUAUGGACUGGGUUGUUGGGCCUUCGGAACAAGCUAUUAUGUUUGAUGGGUCUGGCUUGAAUUCGGUAAAAUCCAUGAAAAGUUCGACCAAAUAUUGAAUUUUAAAAAUAGAGUAAAAAAAUACCUCUCUUGUUACAUUCCGUACUAUUUAUCAAUUUUUUUCCAAAAAUACAGAAACGAGCGAGUUAAAUGUGAAAAAACCAGAUGGUUUGGAACGGUGUUUUCAUCCUUACCUAGGCCCGGCCAGACAUCCAUUAGAGCCCCAAGCAUCCGUCCAUUAGAGCCUCAGACAUCCAUCCAUUAGAGCCCCCAAGCAUCCGAUUUCGGAAGUUCGGAUGCCUAGGAAUGCUGCCUGGACCAGGCAGCCCCUGGGAGGAGCAAACCAAACAGCCCCAUCAUCAUUGUGCUCCCCAAGAGGCCAAGACAGAAAAACGAAUGCUAAGGUAUUCAAAUGGGCUGGGAAUUGUGAGAUUUGGUGCCAUGACUCUACUAGUUUAAUAAAGAUAGGCAAAGGAUGAGAAGAGGGCAGGGGAGAGAUUUCACGGCCCACAAAUCUGAGAACAGCGGAGAGAUAUACAGUACUCAAUGUUAAUUACCCUAGUUUUCCAUGUUAAUUAAUGCACCAUUCUGUAUUAAGCCUGUUCAUUUGUCUUAUAGCCGUACUUUUCAGCGAAC
rnacentral:lncRNA from 1 species